rnacentral:tRNA from 1 species
GGAAGUAGCUCAGUGGUAGAGCACAUGCUUAACAUGAGGUCCUGGGUUCAGUCCCCAGUGCCUCCU